CUGCAGUGAUGUAAGAAUUUCUUCACCUGAUAUCAGAAGCUGAAGAUACACAAUCGAGCUUUUUAAAACUGAGCAGA